AUGGGCGACGCUGCCAACGCCUCCCGUCGGCGUCGGCUGGCCUCAAUUCUCCUCUCCCGGAAACCGCGCCUCAGCGACAGCAGGAACGAGACCACGGCCACAGCCGAAUCCAAGGAUGGCUUCACCAUGGCGGUCUCCUUCUGGAUGGCCGACCCACCGCAGCUGUCCAUCUUCUCCGUCCACUGCUGCAGACCCGCUCACUUCCAAGACGGGCCGUACUGCAAUUUCAAAGAUUUGCCACACGUGGUCGGCGUCGGCGCGGAGGGCCGUCUCGUCCUCAUCCGCGCCGUCUUCGACCGCCGCUACACAUCCGAAUAUUUCCUCUACAAGGCCGGCGAGUCACCAUUGCUCGACCCGAUUCUUCCUCCCUACCAUUAUGUUCAUGGCGACCGCGAUGAUCUGCGGGGGGUCAGGGAGUUCGGCGUCCUGCAGCUCGGCACCCACUAUAUCGUGGCCGCUCUCUGCCUGGACCCUUUGUCGGAUGACUAUCGCCUUCGGAUCUACUCGUCCGAGAGAAAAUCGUGGAGCACCAGGACCCUGCCCAAUCCAUGUCCUGGGGUCGACAGGAUUGUGCCCGACAAGGUGAUCGCUCUUGGAGAAGAAGGCCUACUAGGGUGGGUUGAUUUGUCACAGGGCCUGCUCAUGUGCGACCUGCGUCAAGAAGAUCAGGUGCAUCUCACUUUCAUCCCGCUGCCGGAGCUGUUGCCUGGGAACAGAUACAAACUAAAAGGUCCCAUUCCCCCUCCCACCGCAGACGCAGAGAGAAGCAAAAAACUAGAAGGCGAAUCUCACCCAAAUCUCUGGUGGUUUCGGGAUCUCGCAUGGGUUGAUGGCGUGCUCAAGUUUAUUGAGAUGGAGAAUCUUGCUCCUCGUGAAAGCCGGAGCAGCGACAGGGAUGAUGUUAUCUACGAUUCAAACUUGAUCAUGUCGCUCGAGCGCAAAGCCGUGGAUUGGCAUUGCAAGCAGCCGUCCUUUGGGGGUGCCUGGAGGGCUGUCACAUGGACUCGGACAGUUUCGUCCAACUGUUGGCGCCAGACAUGCGCUGCCAAUGUCGCUGACAUCUUGGUUGUCGACGGAUCAGCGCAUUCAUCUUUGUUGCCCGGGCUAAAGGGAGAAAAGUUGACAUUCAGGGACCUCUACUCAGCUUUCCCCAUCCUGAGUCCGGAUUGUGACGAUAUUCUUUAUCUCAAAUCUAUGGUGGAACCCAGUAAUAAGGAUGGAUGUGUGGCCGCUCUUGACUUAGGAAACAAGGCUGUGAAAGCAGUUGGCAAGUAUUAUCUUCCGGAUGAUUUUUAUUACCACUUUCGCCAUGACCCUGAACAUCCUUUCCGUGUCUGUACAUUGUCCCGCCACACCUAUGCAAUGCUGACAAUCCUUAUCUACUUAGUUAUUAGUAUUACUACUCCCUCCGGUCUUAACUUUGUAAAGAUUUUCCAUAUAAUAUGGUCAAACUUUACGAAGUUUGACUUCAGACAAAUCUUAUAUGCGGAGUAA
rnacentral:rRNA from 1 species